rnacentral:rRNA from 1 species
UGGGGAAUAUUGCACAAUGGGCGAAAGCCUGAUGCAGCGACGCCGCGUGAGGGAUGACGGCCUUCGGGUUGUCAACCUCUUUCAGUAGGGACGAAGCGCAAGUGACGGUACCUGCAGAAGAAGCACCGGCUAACUACGUGCCAGCAGCCGCGGUAAUACGUAGGGUGCGAGCGUUGUCCGGAAUUACUGGGCGUAAAGAGCUCGUAGGCGGUUUUUCACGUCGUCUGUGAAAUCCUAGGGCUUAACCCUGGACGUGCAGGCGAUACGGGCUGACUUGAGUACUACAGGGGAGACUGGAAUUUCUGGUGGAGCGGUGGAAUGCACAGAUAUCAGGAAGAACACCGAUGGCGAAGGCAGGUCUCUGGGUAGUAACUGACGCUGAGGAGCGAAAGCAUGGGUAGCGAACAGG